AGAUGCACACGAUGAAACUACUGCCAUUGCUAGAAAGGGGUGGCCUUGUAGAGUAACCAAAGAUAAAAGCAAAUAACCCAACCAGAGAUAACACAAACUGGUGUAGACGGAUUCAUACAGAAAUGUCCCAUAGUAUUCUCCCAAAUGGUGUUCAAACAGCUGAGGGCCAAAACAGAGGUUCAGUUGCGAGGAGGGAUCCAUCUAGCAUCUUCCUGGAGUGCUCUCACAAUCUGCAAUGGAGGAGAUAGGCACCAAUUCCAAGCAAGUCUGGUCUGAGAUCCCAGUAGAGCUAUCUUGUUGUUUGGUUUUUUUUUGUUAAAGAAGGAUAGUCAAAUAACAAAAGGCCCAAGGCCGAGCCCACUAGGGGAGGAACAACAAGACAAACUUUGGAGCAGGAAAACAGAAAAGCAACCGACACACACUAAGCAAUAAUGCUGAAAAGUGGUCCCAAACUAACAUUGGAAAUGCACAAGUCACAUGGGUGAUUAAUUCAGCUUUGAAAACAAACAACCACUAGGCUUCAGAGAGCAGAACGCACUAAUGCUAGUGGAGCACAAACCAAGAUUGAAUCUCCAAGACUAGAGACAAACCAGAGAAGAAAAGCUUGAACUACCAAGGCAACCUUCUUCAAAUCUCCUCUAUCCUUAGCCUUCCAGCUAGAUCUCAUCCACUAAGAUAGAUUGUUACAGGAGCCCAGCGAGACAGAUGAAGCCAGGGGCAUGGAAACUCUGAUGUUUAAUCUCCAUCAACAAGGAAAGGAGCUUGGAAAACCAUGAAUAGAUGCAGCAGCUUGAGCAUCAAGAACCAAAGCUCUACGAAGCUCCUGAGGGGGCUUAAACAUCUAGUUAUCCAACAAAAAGUUCUGCAUGCACAUCUUAGCAACAAGGGCAUCCCAGAUUGUGGGCCAAAGAGAGACCUUCCCUAAUUGCACUUGCCUCUGCAGUCAGGGGAGAGGAGGAAUAGACCUUUGCAUGCGAGCCAGCCAGUAGCGUGGAGAAUUUAUCCCGGAUUAAGACCCCAACUGCAGAUUGAGCCAGGUCAAUAGCUGAGAGGGUGCUAGCCACUUGUUGGAUAGCAAAAGUUGGGUCAGGGCGAAUGGCGUUGAAGACAGCUUUAUUACGACCCCUCCAAAUGGACCAGAGUAUGCAGGCCAGAGUUGAGAAGUCCUUGUUGAAAUCCAGAGAGAUGGUUUGCAAAGCUGUGAUUUUCUGCAAAAGCCACACAUCAAAAGAACCAAGACCUUGUGGAGAGACCACCCACUGGAGAGAAGAACCGAACCAUACUGCACGCGUCCAAGGGCAGACAAAGAACAUGUGUUCCACUGUUUCCUGGGCUUCACAACAGACCGGACACUGGCCAGAUGGUAAUAUUCUUUUUCUCCAAAGAUUAUAUUUUACAGCUAAAGAAUUAUGACUAGCCUUCCAAAGAAAUACCUUAACUUUCUGGGGUAGUUGAGAUUUCCAAAUUGUUCUCCACAAGAGUUCUGGAAUAUUGUGGGACCUUGAACUUAGGGCCUGGGGUUUAAUAGAGUUAGACCUUGCUAUUUCAAAACCCGAACUGACUGUGUAGUCCCCCUUGGGGGUAUGAGGCCAGAAUAACACAUCAGUUUGAUUUAGCUUACUGACUGGGGUUUGGAGAACUUUUAGAGCUAAUUCUGGUUGAAAGAGACUUCGAACCAGUGCACUAUUCCACCCUUCUCCAUGAGGGGAAAUUAACUCACUAACUUUCAUAUCUGGUGCAUUAUGCGGUUGGAUAAGAGCUUCCCCUGAACUCAACCAGUUGUCCCCCCAAACUUCGAUCAAGAGACCUCCACCCACUGCCCAUCUGCUGUACCUACUGAUAAAGUCUCUCCCUGCGAGUAAGCUUCGCCACAUCCAGGAAGGAUUACGGCCUAAGGAAGCGUUCAAGAAAUCAGAAGUUGGGAAGUAAACAGAUUUAAGAACACACACCCACAAGGCUUCUGGGUUGGUGAGAACACGCCAAGCUUGUUUGGCAAGGAUCGCUAGGUUUUGCAUUCUGAACUCUCUGAAUCCCAUACCCCCUUCAU